AUUGAACGCUGGCGGCAGGCCUAACACAUGCAAGUCGAGCGGACGAACGGGGCUUGCUCCUGGCUGCAGCGGGGGGCGGGCGGGUGAUGCCCACGAAUCUACCCGGCCGUGGGGGCUAACGUCCGGAAACGGGAGCUGAUCCAGCAUCCGUUAUGAUUGUGAACCUGGGGGAUCUUCGGACCUAAACGUUUCAGCUGAGACUAAGUUGCAUUAGCUAGUUGGUGGGGUAAGGGCGUACCAAGGCGACGAACCGUAACUGGUCUGAGAGGCUGAUCAGUCACACUGGAACUGAGACACGGUCCAGACUCCUACGGGAGGCAGCAGUGGGGAAUAUUGGGCAAUGGGCGAAAGCCUGAUCCAGCCAUGCCGCGUGUGUGAAGAAGGUCUUCGGAUUGUAAAGCACUUUGAGUUGGGAGGAACGGCAGUAAGUUAAUACGUUGCUGUUUUGACGGUACCAACAGAAUAAGCACCGGCUAACUACGUG
rnacentral:rRNA from 1 species